AUUUUAGCUCUUAUAUUUUGGUCUGUGAUCUAUUUUGACUUAAUUUUUGCACAAGAUAUAAAGAAAUUGUCCAAGUUUCUUCUCUUUAUUUUGGCUAUCCAGUGAUUCUAGCACCAUUUGUUGAAAAGAUCAUAUUUUCCCUCAUUGAAUUUUCUUUCUUUUUUUUUUUUUUUGGCGUUCUUGUUAAAAAUAAGUUGACCAUAAGAUAAAGGUUUAUUUUUGAACUUACAAUUCUAUUAAUGUUGACUUAGGUGUCUUUACAUGCUAAUAUCACAGUUUUGAUUACUGUAGCUUUGGAAUAUAUCUUCAAAUUGAAAAGUGUGACUUCUCCAACUUUGUUCUUCUUUAUCUUCUUUAUCUAGAUGGUCUUGGCUCUUCAGGAUUUAUAUUCCUAUUCGUUAUCUGGAAAAAAAAGAUUCUAAAAACUGCCCACAUUCCUUGGCUCAUGGCCCCCUUAACUCUUCAAGGCCAGCGAUGGCCACUAGAGUCCCACAUCACGUAAGUCUGAUUAACUUUUCUUCUGCCAUUCUCUUUCACUUUUAACGACUCUUGUAUUACAUUGGGCCCACUCAGGUAAUCUGGGAUAAUCUUCCUAUUUUAAAGUCAGCUGAUUAGAAUCUUUAAUUCUGUCUGCUCUCUUAGUUCUACCUUACCAUGUAAUAUAACACACACAGAUGCGGACAUCUUUGGGUGUUGCUCCUCCUACCACAGACAGAUUAAAGAUGCGAUAUUGUCUUCUAAAUCACAAGGAAAAUAUUUAAGAGUUUAAAUAUGUGACAAUGUAAAAGGAAAAUUAAGGUACAUAAAAUGCAGUUUGGCUUAUUUCAUUACCAGACGGUUAAAUAUUGCAUCUUUAAAUGAUUAAGUUCUAACUCAUGAGAAGAUCCAUGUCCACUUUUUUACAACUCUGUUUUAAUAAAGGAAAUUGGGGUAAUAGAGAUCUAAAAGCGGCAAAUUGCACACUAGGUUGACUAAAAGCUACAGAAUUCUCUGAUGAGACCAAUGCUCUUUUGUUUUUAACCGCCCAGGCUCAAAU
rnacentral:lncRNA from 1 species